rfam:Planctomycetes bacterium RBG_16_43_13 RBG_16_scaffold_8152, whole genome shotgun sequence.
CUUCUAUCAAGGCAAACUGUCUGUGAGGGCAGGGCGCAAAGCUACGGGGCUUAUAGUAAACAUAAAGCAAGCCGGGCUGCCGAG